rnacentral:rRNA from 1 species
GCAUAUCAAUAAGCGGAGGAAAAGAAACUAACAAGGAUUCCCUUAGUAACGGCGAGUGAAGAGGGAAGAGCUCAAAUUUUAAAUCUAUCAUGUUGUACAUGAUCGAGUUGUAAUUUGAAGAAGCGUUUUCUCGUACUUUAUGAUCAGUAUAAGUUCUCUUGGAACAGGACAUCAUAGAGGGUGAUAAUCCCGUCUGUUACUGAUUGUGAGGUUCGUUUAUGAUACGCUUUCAAAGAGUCGAGUUGUUUGGGAUUGCAGCUCCAAAUGGGUGGUAAACAUCACCUAAGGCUAAAUAUUUGCGAGAGACCGAUAGCGAACAAGUACCGUGAGGGAAAGAUGAAAAGAACUUUGAAAAGAGAGUUAAAAAGUAUGUGAAAUUGUUGAAAGGGAAACGAUUGAAGUCAGUCGUGCAGUCAUCAAUUCAGCGGUUAACAUUUUUAUGUUUCCGUGUAAUUUGGUGUCUGUUGGUUAGCAUCAAUUUUGAUUGUCAUAAAAAGGUUAAGGGGAUGUGGCUCCUUCGGGAGUGUUAUAACCCUUAGCGUAAUGUGACGAUUAGGAUUGAGGAUUGCAACGAAUACCUUUUAGGGCAGUUUCACCUGGCCUCUCGUGGAAUUAUAGAUAGUUAAGAGCAUGCUCUUACUGUCUAUGAUUCUACGAAAAGGUUGGAGUGUAAAACUAAUUCGUUAAGGAUGUUGACGUA